GGCUCCAUAGCUCAGUUGGUAGAGCAAAGGAUUGAAAAUCCUUGUGUCGACGGUUCGAUUCCGCCUGGCGCCACCA
rnacentral:tRNA from 1 species